rnacentral:rRNA from 1 species
GUCCAGACUCCUACGGGAGGCAGCAGUGAGGAAUAUUGGUCAAUGGGCGCGAGCCUGAACCAGCCAAGUCGCGUGAGGGAUGAAGGAUCUAUGGUUCGUAAACCUCUUUUAUAAGGGAAUAAAGUGCGGGACGCGUCCCGCUUCGCAUGUACCUUAUGAAUAAGGAUCGGCUAACUCCGUGCCAGCAGCCGCGGUAAUACGGAGGAUCCGAGCGUUAUCCGGAUUUAUUGGGUUUAAAGGGUGCGUAGGCGGCCUUUUAAGUCAGCGGUGAAAGUCUGUGGCUCAACCAUAGAAUUGCCGUUGAAACUGGCUGUCUUGAGAUGUCGAGAGGUAUGCGGAAUGCGCAGUGUAGCGGUGAAAUGCUUAGAUAUUGCGCAGAACUCCGAUUGCGAAGGCAGCAUACCGGCGGCGAUCUGACGCUGAGGCACGAAAGCGUGGGUAUCGAACAGGAUUAGAUACCCGCGUA